UAGCGCAUAGCUCAGUCGGUAGAGCAUGAGACUCUUAAUCUCAGGAUCAUAUGUUUGAGCCCCAUGUUGGGUAAA